GCCGGGUGUGGUGGUGCACGCCUGUAAUUCCAGCUACUCAGGAGGCUGAGGCAGGAGAAUUGCUUGAACCCAGGAGUCGGAGGUUGCAGUGAGCUGAGAUGCGCCACUGCACUCCAGCCUGGGUGACAGAGUGAGACUUAGUCUCAA
rnacentral:sRNA from 1 species